UCCUCGAUAGUCUAGUGGUGAGGAUAUCGGCUUGUCAAUCAACGGUUCGCCGGGGACCGGGGUUCAAUUCCCCGUCGAGGAG
rnacentral:tRNA from 1 species